rnacentral:rRNA from 1 species
AUUGAACGCUGGCGGCAGGCUUAACACAUGCAAGUCGAACGAGCGGCGGACGGGUGAGUAAUGUAUGGGGAUCUGCCUGAUGGCGGGGGAUAACUACUGGAAACGGUAGCUAAUACCGCAUACCAUCAGAUGAACCCAUAUGGGAUUAGCUGGUAGGGGAGGUAACGGCUCACCUAGGCUACGAUCCCUAGCUGGUCUGAGAGGAUGACCAGCCACCCGGGGACUGAGCCACGGCCCAGACUCCUACGGGAGGCAGCAGUGGGGAAUAUUGCGCAAUGGGGGCAACCCUGACGCAGCCAUGCCGCGUGUAUGAAGAAGGCCUUCGGGUUGUAAAGUUCUUUCGGUAGCGAGGCGUUACCCGCAGAAGAAGCACCGGCUAACUCCGUGCCAGCCGCCGCGGUAAUAC